rfam:Gossypium hirsutum cultivar TM-1 unplaced genomic scaffold scaffold1805.1, whole genome shotgun sequence
UGUUGAAAAUUUCAUUCAAUUCUAUUGUUAAAAACUGGGAUGACCUAUGAAAUAACCAAACAAUUACAUAUAACGUAUCACAUGUACCUCAUGUCGAGAUACAUAGAUCAGUUUUUAAUAAUAGAAAUAAAUGAAAUUUUUAACA